GGACAUAAAAUUUGGAGAAAUUUACCCUGUUUUUUUUUUUGUAACUGAACCCUUUUUGGUCGGCCAACUCUUGUUUAUUUACUUAACCAAAGUAAAAUAUAUAUUACAUUUAGACAAACACAUGGAUAUAGAAAUUAAGAAAAAUAUGGUACCCAAAAUCACUAGAGAAAACAAAAUUAUUACAAUAUUAAACAUGCAUGCGUAUAUAUAAUUAAUGAAGCCUAAUUCAAUGAGAAAAUAUAAGGUGGCAAAUCCAUGUAUGUUAAAAUACAUCUAGAAAGAAGAAGUGUAGAAGAGAAAACAUGAUAGGUGAAAUGGGAUUGUUCUUGAGGCACAAGUGAGCUUAAAAAAGAUAUAGAAAGAGAAAGAUGUUUGACAAACACCUAAUACCAAAGAGACCCCAUCACAAUAAAACAUUAAGUUACAGGUUCAUCAUUCUUCCUCGAUAUUGCGUUAUACUUCAUCAAAACUGAAGAACAGAAAUCUAAUAAACUACUAUAUUUAAUCAAGCUGGUAUCCAUGUGUCAUGGUUAAAAGUAUUGUGAAACUUAUUUAACAAUAAAUUUGUAUGGUGAAAUAAAAAGAAAAAGAGAAAAAAGAUAGAUGUAGAAGGAGAUGGUGGCUUGGGCCAUACUUAAAAAAAUAACAUAUAAAACACGUUGAUGUGGCUGCCUUCAUUCUCCACUAUCCAAGGUGGCUGUGAUUGGUUGUUUCUUGAUUUGGGUCCAUAUAUGUUAUACAUAUAUCUAUAGAACUAUAUAUAUAAAGAUAGUAUCAUUAAUAUUCAUAAUUUGCAAGAGCCUCCUCAGGCACUGUAUGAGAAAUGGGGUGGCUCAAUUCUUUCUUCUCUCCCUUGAAGAAACUAUGGUUUCGCGUCAAUUCUACUCAAAAGAAGAGAAGAGGAAUAUACAUAUUAUACGAGGACGUGAAGUCAUGUCCAUAUGAAGAUGUGCAUGUUUUGUGGUCUAUACUCGUGGAGUCUCACCCACACACUUUGCAACCCAAACAAUAAAACCUCCAUUGUGCAUAGCUCUCGUUUUGGUUCAGAGUUCAUAUAUGGAAUGUUCAUGCUCAAGGACGAAACAAAGGAGAAAAUUGUUGGCGAAUCAUUCAUAUAUAUGUGUUACUCUCACUUGUACAUAACAAUAUAAAUACACAGAGAUUCUAAUUCCUUAUGGUUUUAUACAUUUUCUCUCUCGCGACUAUAUUGGUAUAUGGAAUGUUCAGAGAGUUCAUAUUCUCUCUCGUGAC